rnacentral:rRNA from 1 species
GCACCUUCGGUGUCCGAGUUGUAAUUUGAAGAUUGUAACCUUGGGGUUGGCUCUUGUCUAUGUUUCUUGGAACAGGACGUCACAGAGGGUGAGAAUCCCGUGCGAUGAGAUGCCCAAUCCUAUGUAAGGUGCUUUCGAAGAGUCGAGUUGUUUGGGAAUGCAGCUCUAAGUGGGUGGUAAAUUCCAUCUAAAGCUAAAUAUUGGCGAGAGACCGAUAGCGAACAAGUACAGUGAUGGAAAGAUGAAAAGAACUUUGAAAAGAGAGUGAAAAAGUACGUGAAAUUGUUGAAAGGGAAGGGUUUGAGAUCAGACUCGAUAUUUUGUGAGCCUUGCCUUCGUGGCGGGGUGACCCGCAGCUUAUCGGGCCAGCAUCGGUUUGGGCGGUAGGAUAAUGGCGUAGGAAUGUGACUUUGCUUCGGUGAAGUGUUAUAGCCUGCGUUGAUGCUGCCUGCCUAGACCGAGGACUGCGAUUUUAUCAAGGAUGCUGGCAUAAUGAUCCCAAACCGCC